GAWACUGCGAAGUGGCUCAUUAAAUCAGUUAUCGUUUAUUUGAUARWACCUCACUACUUGGAUAACCGUGGUAAUUCUAGAGCUAAUACAUGCUAAAAACCCCGACUUCGGAAGGGGKGUAUUUAUUAGAUAAAAAACCAAKGCCCUCCGGGGCUCCUUGGUGAUUCAUAAUAACUCAACGAAUCGCAUGGCCUUGCGCCGGCGAUGGUUCAUUCAAAUUUCUGCCCUAUCAACUUUCGAUGGUAGGAUAGNGGCCUACCAUGGUGGCAACGGGUAACGGGGAAUUAGGGUUCUAUUCCGGAGAGGGAGCCUGAGAAACGGCUACCACAUCCAAGGAAGGCAGCAGGCGCGCAAAUUACCCAAUCCCGACACGGGGAGGUAGUGACAAUAAAUACUGAUACAGGGCUCUUUUGGGUCUUGUAAUUGGAAUGAGUACAAUUUAAAUCCCUUAACGAGGAACAAUUGGAGGGCAAGUCUGGUGCCAGCAGCCGCGGUAAUUCCAGCUCCAAUAGCGUAUAUUAAAGUUGUUGCAGUUAAAAAGCUCGUAGUUGAACCUUGGGCUUGGCUGUCCGGUCCGCCUCACCGCGUGCACUGGUUCGGCCRAGCCUUUCCUUCUGGGGAGCCGCAUGCCCUUCACUGGGUGUGCCGGGGAACCAGGACUUUUACUUUGAAAAAAUUAGAGUGUUCAAAGCAGGCCUAUGCUCGAAUACAUUAGCAUGGAAUAAUAGAAUAGGACGUCGCGGUUCUAUUUUGUUGGUUUCUAGGACCGCCGUAAUGAUA
rnacentral:rRNA from 1 species